AUUGGGCGUAAAGAGUUGCGUAGGUGGUUUAUUAAGUGAAUAGUGAAAGCUGGAGGCUCAACCUUACAGACUAUUAUUCAAACUGGUAAACUCGAGAGUAGUAGAGGUAACUGGAAUUUCUUGUGUAGGAGUGAAAUCCGUAGAUAUAAGAAGGAACACCAAUGGCGUAGGCAGGUUACUGGGCUAUCUCUGACACUGAGGCACGAAAGCGUGGGGAGCGAACCGGAUUAGAUACCCGGGUAGUCCACGCCGUAAACGAUGGAUACUAGCUGUUUGGGGUAUCGACCCCUCAAGUAGCGAAGCUAACGCGUUAAGUAUCCCGCCUGUGGAGUACGGCCGCAAGGCUAAAA
rnacentral:rRNA from 1 species